rnacentral:rRNA from 1 species
UCAACCUACGGGGGGCAGCAGUGGGGAAUUUUGCACAAUGGGGGAAACCCUGAUGCAGCGACGCCGCGUGAGUGAAGAAGUAUUUCGGUAUGUAAAGCUCUAUCAGCAGGGAAGAAAAUGACGGUACCUGACUGAGAAGCCCCGGCUAACUACGUGCCAGCAGCCGCGGUAAUACGCAGGGGGCAAGCGUUAUCCGGAUUUACUGGGUGUAAAGGGAGCGUAGACGGUAGAG